GUAUUUUGAAUCUGAGCUCACUCAUAUUCAGAGCCUGGAGCUGCAGAGAAAGAGUGGUCUAGUGGUUACACCAAGGAAAAGGAAGUUAUUUACUGUGUUGUAACUGGAGUUGGAGAUGCAUGGUUGCUAUGUGCAUUCCACUGUGGAUACGCAUGUGCUCCAUGGGCCUGGGACUGGAGAAUUCUUGCAAUCAGUGUCCAUUGAUCUGAACCUGCAGCCCUGCUCUCCUUGUGCUCCGUAAUGAAGUUGUAAAGGGUGGUGCAGACUGACCGCCUGCUCUAGUUCCUUCUCUACAGCGAAUCCAGUCAUAAUCCAAAGCAGACAGGAAGGCGGUACGUAGUGGAAUGCACAUAAGGACUAUGCCUCUUGGAGAAUUCCGGUUACAACAAGGAGGGGUUGCACACCAUCCUCGGCAGCAACCCCACUUCCACCGCCAAGAGCCCUAUGGAUACUUCGGCAGGACUGGAGGCAGCCGAUUCAACCCCAAGGACGAAGUGGUGGAUGAGUAGGUAGAGUUGGAGAAGGAUGCGAGACAGGCAACAGGUUUGUCUAGUGGCGUGGCAGCCAGGACCUCUUUUUGACUUCAGAGUGGUUUAGCCAUUUCUGGCUCUGGCAUUCCUGAAGCUGGAGAGGAGAGCUCCAGUGUGCCCUUGAGGACCAGUUCCACACCAGAAGAACGCCUCCAUCAGAUAAAGUAGUGAAAGAGAAGGAGUAAGCAGGACAUAUUUCGUAAAGAGCUGCAACCAUCAGAUCAGGCCAAUAACAAGCAUGGAGAGAGACAAUCAAAAUACUAGAAAUGAAUAGCCAGCGAAUGAUACAGAGCCAGGAGUAGAUAAUAAAGUUCAUGGAGGACCAAACAGAGAUGCUGAGGUCCCUGACUGAGCUGCAGGGGGAACACAUGUGUGCUUGACUCCCCCUGUAGCCCAUACAGAACUGCCUUCAUUGCUCUCCCAGAACUUCCCAUACACAUUCCUGGCCCAUCACAGUAACCCUUGUACUCCACCGCAAGGACAUUUUCCAUAAUGACGGCUGGACUUACACACAGCUAUGAGAUCCUCACUUCAGAGAGUGCUGCUCAC